AUACAGAGGGUGCGAGCGUUAAUCGGAUUUACUGGGCGUAAAGCGUGCGUAGGCGGCUUUUUAAGUCGGAUGUGAAAUCCCUGAGCUUAACUUAGGAAUUGCAUUCGAUACUGGGAAGCUAGAGUACGGGAGAGGAUGGUAGAAUUCCAGGUGUAGCGGUGAAAUGCGUAGAGAUCUGGAGGAAUACCGAUGGCGAAGGCAGCCAUCUGGCCUAAUACUGACGCUGAGGUACGAAAGCAUGGGGAGCAAACAGGAUUAGAAACCCUAGUAGUCC
rnacentral:rRNA from 1 species